AAAAUAAAAAUAGUUUCACCAAAUUAAUUUCACAAAAUGGGUAAUCCCGCUUGAACUCUGGACCACAAGAACUAGGAAGUCGAGGACAUUUUGGACUACAUAAACAAAUUAUUGUCUCAACUCCUCUGUUUUUUUGUAACUUUUACACGUUUCCCAUCAAACUUAUUUUCCAUUUUUAUUUCAAAUCAAAAGUCAAUGAAAUAGAUGGCGUUUAACC
rnacentral:lncRNA from 1 species